rnacentral:rRNA from 1 species
CACGAUGAACGCUGGCGGCGUGCCUUAACACAUGCAAGUCGAACGAAGAAAUUGUAGCAAUACGGUUUCUUAGUGGCGGACGGGUGAGUAACACGUAGGUGACCUGCCCCGAAGUGUGGAAUAACAGUCCGAAAGGAUUGCUAAUACCGCAUGUGGUCUGUGAGGUUAGAGUCUUGCAGACUAAAGCAGUAAUGUGCUUCGGGAGGGGCCUGCGCCCCAUCAGCUAGUUGGUAGGGUAAUGGCCUACCAAGGCAACAACGGGUAGGGGGCCUGAGAGGGUGACCCCCCACAUUGGCACUGACACACGGGCCAAGCUCCUACGGGAGGCAGCAGUGGGGAAUAUUGCUCAAUGGGCGAAAGCCUGAAGCAGCAACGCCGCGUGCGCGAUGAAGGCCUUCGGGUCGUAAAGCGCUUUUGAGAGGGACGAGAUAGGACGGUACCUCUGGAAUAAGUCACGGCUAACUACGUGCCAGCAGCCGCGGUGAAACGUAGGUGGCAAGCGUUAUCCGGAUUCACUGGGCGUAAAGCGCGUGCAGGUGGUUUCGUAAGUUGGACGUUAAAUCUCCCGGCCUAACCGGGAGGAGUCGUUCAAUACUGCGGGACUUGAGGGCAGAAGAGGGGGGUGGAAUUGCUGGUGUAGUGGUGAAAUGCGUAGAUAUCAGCAGGAACACCUGUGGCGAAAGCGGCCCCCUGGUCUGCUCCUGACACUCAGACGCGAAAGCUAGGGGAGUGAACGGGAUUAGAAACCCCGGUAAUCCUAGCCGUAAACGAUGGAUGCUAGGUGUGGGUGGUAUUGACCCCAUCCGUGCCGAAGCCAACGCGUUAAGCAUCCCGCCUGGGGACUACGGCCGCAAGGUUAAAACUCAAAUGAAUUGACGG